GCGUGCGCCGAGGGGCGGCCUCCAUGGCGGCGCCGGCGGGAGCCCCGGCGAGCGUGUGACCUGCAUGGCUUCCAGCGAUCCGUCACUGGGACAGAGCGGCUCUCCUGCAGCCUUACCGAUCGCCGUACGCCUCUUGGGCAGCUCCGCGUCCUCAGCAGCGCCUGCGCGGCCGCCUCCGCCUCUAUCCGCAGAGGAGCUCCGCCUGCUCGAGCCCCAUGGCCAGGCGCUCUGCGAGCUGCAGCCCCUCGGGGCGCCCAGCGCGCACAUGAUGAUUGUUGCCAGCCAGUCAGAAAAUGGCCAGGUGCUUCACGUCAUUCCUUCUGCCCAGCCAGGAAUGGCCCAGGUGAUAAUUCCUCAGGGUCACCUUCUGGAUGUCACCAGCACUCAGGAUGCUUCAGAAGAGAAGUGUGGUGAUGGGAACUUGCAGACUGUGGCGGUGGCUGCUAUAGCAGACAGUGCAAGCAGUUACAUUCUCCAUCCACAAGCAUCUGUCACCAUAUCAAAAAAAUCAGCAACCAGGAUAUUGGAAGACUCCUUUCCCAUCCCUCUCCAGCCCUUGCCAACAAAUACACCUGCAUGGGCGCGCCGUCUCUGGAACUGUGAGAAAAUUGGGGACUCAUACCGCGGCUAUUGUGUGAGCGAGACAGAAUUAGAGAGUGUUCUAACGCUACACAAGCAGCAAACACAAAGUGUGUGGGGGACGCGCCAGUCUCCAAGCCCGGCCAAACCCGCCACACGGUUGAUGUGGAAAUCUCAGUAUGUCCCAUAUGAUGGGAUCCCCUUUGUCAAUGCAGGAAGCAGAGCCAUUGUAAUGGAGUGCCAGUAUGGGCCAAGGAGAAAAGGGUUCCAGUCUAAAAAAGCUGGUGAGCAGGAACGCACUUCUGGCUAUCUGUACAAAGCCACUUGUCCAGCAAGGAUCUAUAUUAAAAAAGUUCAAAAGUUUCCAGAGUACAGAGUUCCUACCGACCCCAAAAUAGACAAGAAAAUCAUAAGAAUGGAGCAGGAGAAAGCAUUCAACAUGCUGAAGAAAAACUUGAUAGAGGCUGGUGGUAUCAUCAGGUGGUAUGUGCAGUUACCCACUCAGCAAGCCCACCAAUACCAUGAAAUGGAAACUUCCUGUCUCCCUUCUUCGCCCUCCCAUUUUUCUGCUGCUUUUCCUGAGGAGGAGGAGGACGUGGUUAGAGAUGAGAACUGUACUCUGCCUUCCCGCCUUCAUCCUCAAGUAGCAGACAAGAUCCGAGAUCUGGUGUCUCAAGGAAUAGAGCAGGUCUACGCAGUGAGGAAGCAACUAAGAAAGUAUGUGGAAAGGGAAUUAUUCAAACCUGAUGAAGUGCCAGAGAGACAUAACCUAUCCUUCUUUCCCACUGUGAACGACAUCAAGAACCACAUUCAUGAAGUGCAGAAGUCCCUGAGAAAUGGCGAUGUGGUAUGCAAUUCAGACAGCAUUCCUGCAACGCUACAGUGGACCACAGACAGUGGGAAUGUUCUCACAGAAACAGUGACUGUUACGUUUGCCUCACCACCUUCCGAUGGGAACUCACCAGGGGAGUCAGUCAUCACCAAAGUAGAAUCCAACCAGGGUGUGGAGACCUUGCUAUCAGAAAAAGCUCAGCUGUUGUCUUCUCUCUCUUCACUUCAGCCCAAGAUAUUUGCGCAACUUCAGGGAUUACAGCUGCAAUCAAACUUUACCUCCACAAAUGGAUCAACAGCCCUGAUAGCUGUAGAUAACCAUUCCCAUUCCAAUUCUGCAAGUCUCUUGGAUUCCAUAGAGAGUGCAGUAACCAACCAUCCUCCAGUGCUUGGUCAGGGGCACAGUCUGCAAAAAGGUGCUGGCCUAGCACAGCACAGUGCUGCUGCCUCUGCUUUUGGGACUCCUCCUGCCACUGAUCAGAAUCUGGUCACCAUGGGCCAGCUGGUAGCACUUGACGGGGAAGGGGACUCCAGAAGCAUAGAAGGAGGUAUCCAGCAAGUUCUCCUGGGAGAUGUACAGACUAUUCCAGUACGGAUUGUGGAAAGCCAGCCUGCACUUACUGAAGAUAAUACAGAGGCUGGUAUCUGUAUAAGCCAAGUUAAACAAGAGCCAAGAGAAAAAGCACUGUCUGUGGAGCCAGAUAAAAUCAGAGACUGCCAGAGAUCCUCCUCUGUUUAAAUCCGUGAAGGCUGUAAGAAUUUUUCAAAUCAGAGGACUCUAAAUGCCUUGGGAAGAAAGGCAGGUAUGCUUAAAAUAAUGCCAUUCUUUUUAAAUGGUACUGUGACAUUCACUCUGGGCAUAUUUUACAAUAGUUCUGACAGACAACUAUUUUGGUUUACAACUGAUGUGACUCACUGCCAAUUCCAUGUCUGUUCACUUACCAGGUGAAACACCACCUCUCUCAUCUAUUUUAUGUUUUGAGUAACUUGGAUGCUAUCCAAAUGGUACAUUUUGGUCGGCAUUUCUGAAGGUCUUCCACAUUUAGUUUUAGAACGUGGAUUAAAAUGCUUGAUUUGCUUUUCUCCUUGAGACCGUGAACUGUUACAGCACUAUGCAGUCCACGGAAUCUGCCAGCUCCCAGACUCUGGAAUCUAACAGCAAAGUUCACGAACACAAUAGUUUUGUGACAAAACAAAGGUCUGAGAGACUACAUUUCUAAGUGAUGAAGGACAUGGAUGCUUAAGAAAAUGCAGCUUUGACCUGAUCAUGUUAAUGGUGUGAAGAUCAAGGAGAGAAGAAAGGUGAGGAUGCCAGGUGAACUUAGUUGUAUGAUGAAGAAACAUCUGUGAAUUGUAACAAUGAAUGUUUUCAGCUUAUGAUGUCUUUUAAAUUUAUGUUCUAGCUUUCUAGGCAUAGAAUCAUUAAGGUUGGAAAAGUCCUCUAAGAUCAUCAAGUCCAAUCAUCAACCGAUCACCACUAAACCACAUACCUAAGUGCCACAUCUGUGUGUUGCCACUUGCAGCCUUUGCAGUGGUACUGUAGCAAUAGUUGGUUGUUACAUCUAAAAGCAGUCUUGUUUUCUUUUGUUUUUUUGAAAAGAAGAAAAGAAAAAUUGAUGCUGCAGUUUCAGCUUCUCUACUUUCUGCUUUAUGCACUUGAAUUAUAUUUAUGAGUUGGUAUCUUAACAUGCUGUUGUUCAUGAUUGUGAGGCUUACAUAUAAAUUACUAACAGAGAGGCCCGAGAGAACAAAGCAAGUAAUAUAAAUCUAAGCAAUACGUACUGUCACCAUAACAUUCAGGAAACAAACUUGGUUUUGUUUGGUAAUAGCAGCUUCUAGGACUGAACUGGUCUGAAGUACUUAAAAAAGUUACCAGGAAGUUUCAUAAAGCUGCAUGUGGUUGAGUAGUACCUUUUGGCAACGCUUAAGCCAAAGUCAUAAUAAGUGACAGAAAUUGGAUUGCGUGAUCCAUGAUAGAUAAGUUUCCUUAACAACAACAACAACAACAAAUUGGAAUCUAUUUAAAGCACUAAGUGAAAUGAAACUGAUGAUAAUGUAGGUGUCAAGUUAAACAGUGGCACUGGUUUUUCAGGCGUUGAGUUUUUAGGGUAGCAUCCAAAAUAUUUUGUGUACAGCAGUACCAGUAGUUCCUUUUGAAGUGGUUGAGAAACUGAUCAUUGAAUUAGAUGUUUUUCUGCAUGCUGUACAACACUGCAGGUGGAAGGCUUUCUCUUUUCCACUCUAAAAAGCAAUAAAAAGAAGAUAAGUUGACUUACGCUGAGAGAAAAUGUUAGGAAUAUUGUGUGUAUAUAUAUGAAUGUAAAGAUUAACAUUUUGAAAUUACUACAUUUAUUAAUAUGCAUUCAAGGCAUUCACAAACCUCAUUUGAAUAAUGGCCAUUUAAAACUGAUUUUUAACUUUCUUUUGUGUGUUUAAAGCUAAAACUUUCAAAAGUCACAGGAUGAAAUUGGAUUCUUAAUACCUCUGUAUGCAGCAUCUGUUAGAUAGUUGUUAUAUUGUAGUCUUAACAUAAACACAUAUUGACUUCUGUGAGGUUAACUAUUGCUGUUAAUACUGUUCAUUUUAAGGUUAAUGUUUAUGGAUUAGCUUAAAUCUGAACUUUCCAACAGAUGAUAAAUACUAAGAGCCAGUGUUUCAUCAUGCAAGUGCAUAGAGAAUCUUCAGAUGUUUGAAGUCUCUGAUACUUGUUUCUACAUGGACUUGUUUUGUGGUAUGCCUUACUCGUUUCUGGGUCAGAAGCUAUCCAGCAGGUCUAUCCAACAAGCAGCAACUAAGGUAUGAUCUGUGGGAAGAAAAGGAAGGCAAAAAUGGCAUCACAUGACAGGAGUGUGGGUGGGUUGGUUUUCUACAGCUAGAUGUUGCAUCUUACCAUCAUUCCAUUUGUAACCCAUCUAACAAAUUGCAUGUGUAUUUUUUUAAAGUGAUUUGAUGUGUUUUCUGGGGAGUCUUCGAAGGAAUUAUAACAACAGCAAUACUUUAUCAUAGGAGGUAUCAGUAGGUGUUUGGCAUCUAGGAUCACAUCCUGUUCCAGUACAGAAAGAGGUUAAAAAGCCUCUAAAGCUUUCUGAGGUCAAAUACUGAGUGUUCCUGUCCUAAGGGGUCUUCCCUGUCUAGAAAAUUAAGAGCAUUGGGUGCUGCAGCAGUAGAACCUAAUCAGUGGUCCAUUAGUCUAUCUAUACUAGAUAGAAAAAACCUUGCAAAAGGCAUGUAUAUGAGAACUUGAGCGCAACUUUUUUUCCGUACUGAGGUUUUAACUGAUAUAUGCACGUGGAUUUGUAUACAUUAAAAAAACUAAAAACCUAUAGAAGCUUGUAUGUAGUUGACUAAUACAGUUUUAGUUACGCUUGACUAUAGUUAAAUGAUGCAUGUAUUUUAGAGAGCAUAUAAUCAGGCCUUUUAUGUAGAUAAUUGAAAUUCAUGUUUUUACCAGUAUCAUUCUUAGCAAUCUGCAGUGCAGUUCACUUGAUCACGUGCUGGGCUCUUGUAAAUGACUGUCCAUUCCAACAAGAACAUUGCUUAAAACAAAUCAGAUUUCUUGUUCCUCCUUCUCAUUUUUUCUAGUACAGAUUGUUAGGGAUGAAAAUCUUUUUGUAGUGUGGGGAUUUGUAAGUAUUUACACUUUUGUGUCCUCGGUGUGAAGCAACUAGAAAGCAAACAUUUGCAUACUAUUGGAUCUGCCAUUUGGUUAUUUUUAUAAUAUACUCAGUUUUCUGCAGCAUCGCAGUGUUGAUAAAGCAUGAGUAACACUAAAAUAUUAUCAGUAUUUCAUGUCUGUUCUUUGUUUAAACGUUGCAUUCAGUGGCUCCAGCAAAGAUCUGGGACUUUGCUUCUACUCUUUAUAGAAUAGUCUGCCUCUAUGUAUUAUCUAAAAUGUAAUUAGGACCACCAAGUGGUGGUAGGAGAGACAGAAACAGAGCUGCAUGUGUCAAGGGAGAUCAGUGGGAGAGAGAGAAGUGCAGCCCCAUAUGCAGGUCAGUGUUUUUGUAUGCAGAAAAAAAGCACAGCAGUUGUAGAGCCAAACCCACACUAGAGUGGGGGGGGGGGGGAAUGAAUGACACCAGAAUCCUUACCCUUACCACCUUCCCUGUCACAAGAGGGUACCUCCUUUUCAUUUGCAUUAUCUGACCUGAUCACCUAACAGCAUGUCGAUGACAACAUCUGUGAACUAUAGUUUGUUUGUGAACGACUGGGUCACAUCAAGUCUAGAGAUGGUUAAAUUGUAAAACAAAUUUUCUUUGCACUUGGCAUUUGUAUUGAUUUAGUGAAACCAAUGACAUCACAAAUGGUUAGGUCUCAAGAAAAAGAGAAAGACAAGAAAGCCUUCAACUGAAUUUGGUCAUCCAAAUUUAUGGCCUAACUGAGCUAGGGCCUAACUCUGAGGCUAUGCAUGUAGCCUGCAGUACUUCUUGAGCAGAAUAAAUCUUUUUUCUUUUUCCAACUCCCAAGAACAUCAGCUGCAUUUGUGUUCUUAGUGACUGUAGGGCUCCUCAUUUUUAUCUCCCCAAGCAUAGCUUGUGGAAUUCUGUUUUCCACCGUGAGGGGAAAUGGAGGUCAUCUUGUAUAGAAAACGUGAUGGACAGUGUCCAUGCUGAGUGAACUGGCAGCACGUAGGACAGCCACUCUCAAGCAUGCUGUAUUUAAGCUGUGUUAAGAAUGGGAGCUGAGAGAAAGGAUAAGCAAUGAAAGAGUGUAAUGUUAAAAGCAAGCAUCCAUGCUCCUCACGGUGUACCCUUUCUUAUAAACAACAUGAGGAAAAAUACUGGUCAAAUCUGGAACUCCUUCAUCAUCAGCCCUCCACAAGAAAAAGAAAAAAUACCCACCCCUAAAGUUUAACAGCUAAUUAGUCAGAAUUUUUGCCUAGAAAUUACUUUCUGUCCUAGAUCGGAGUAUCCAUUAUUUAUUUCUUGAAUAAUUAUGGUAAAAAUACAGUUCUACUUUACUGAGGUGCUGUUCUUUCAGAGAUAAAUGCAACCAUUUCUCAGAUAUUUCUUUUAAAACUAAAAUUAAGUGGGAGAGUAAAAAAAUUAGAAAUUAAUUAUGUAUUUCUUGCAAAUGACACUCCAGUUUUCUGAAGAGUGCAGGUGCUUCCUCCUUGUCUCCUACUUUUAUCUCUCAGUUCACUAGAUGUCGGAUGUUUUCUUAGGAUUGCUUACCUGUGAGAGCACUCCAGUUAAAACCAGCAAGAAGCCAGAUUGGAAACAGAAGAGGAAGUAAAGUUUGUACAAAGCUGCUUGCAGGAGAUAGAAAGCUAUCAAAGGUGCAGCUCAGCAUUGCAGUUUCUUCUGACUGAAGUGGUUCACUUUGAAUGGUAAAUGUUUUUAUGGUAAGCAAUUGUUUAUAGCUGAUCUUGGUGUUAUUUAUGCUGUGAGCUCACGUGUAAUAAAAGCUAGAAGGGUAACCACAUAUAUUUGCUUUAUCUUCAGUGUGGUAGUUAUCUUCUGAAUGCAAGCUGGUAUAACGUCUGUCUUCUUAAUUGUUGACAAAGCUGCUACCGCAUCUGAGUUUUUAUAUGUGGAAGGAGAUGUGGGAAGGUGAGAACCUUCUUGACUUCCUACUGAGAAGAGAUCAUCAUCUCAGGAAUGAGGGCUUUACCAGUUUUAAAAGUGCAUGGUGAGGGGGAAGGUAUUGCAUUAAUUGACAUUUGUUUCUCACUAUCCAAAUCUUCUUUAACUGGCAAUAAAUUAAAUUGAUUUUCCCCAAGUUGAGUCUGUUUUGCUCAUGACUGUAAGUGGUAAGUGAUCUCCCUGUCUUUGAACUGAUGGGCUUUUUCAGCCUGUUUUCAUGCCUGUCCUGUUGAGGAGGGAGGAGUGGAAGAAUGGCUAGGUGGACAAUGCAACCUACCACAGCUGCUUCAUCAUCUGAGGUAUGAACCUCACAGGUUAGGAACCCUAACCUGGGAAAUAGUGGACUGUGAUGUUACAGGAGGAGGUCCUACUUUGAUACGAGUGAUGUCUAAACUGUUUCAGAUGGGUGGGACUAAUGAAAAUGUUUCUUCAUGGCAGCUGCUUCUCUGGAGUGAAUUCUUACCUGGUUAACAGGGCUUUCUGUGUAAUCCCACAAGUACUUACUGAAAACUUGUGUUUGAUCUCAACUCACAAUGGCAAAUAGUGACCUCUUUGAUUAUUGCAAGCAAAUAUUACUUUGAGUCCUUUGAGCAAGGCACAGAAUUGAUCACAUUUUACUUUUUAAGAAGUCAUUCUAUGUGUAGUAAGGGAGUGCAUGGUGUUUAAAUCGGGGCUUGUAUUUCUAAAUGUGUUCUGGCUGGGCCUUUGAAUUUCUGCUCGUUCACCAUUUCACUGUAGUAGAUCUCAGCUGUGGUAUCUACUAGGGAACCUGUCUAGCUCAUUACAGUUCUGCUGGAGAGUAUCAACCAUAUUUGUGUUUUACAGGUUUAAAUGUAGUGGAGGCAUUCUGAGAAAAUUAUGCUGCUGCAGUAUGUUCUCCUUCAUCUACUCUGGUAGUAUUGCUCUUGCUGAUGAUGAGGAUGGUAGCAGCAUCUUCAGAGCGUUAUAGCUAUGCUUCAGAAGGGGAUAAAGCUUGGCGUGAGUGGCUGCUGUGGUCUAAGUACUGUUAGGCCGUGCACUGGAAAAGAAAUAAGCAGAGUCUGGGGAUGAGAUUUAUAUCCCAGUGCUUUUCAGACAGUAAUUUCCUGUUAAAAUAAGAAGGGAACUUCCUUGGAAUGUAAGUUUUGUAUGUGGGUUCUUAUAUCACCUGCUGAAAACACCUGGUGCUUUCCACUAAGGGUGUCUAGGCUGGAUACUAGGUGAGAUGGUUCACUUGCUGAUUUCUGGUAGGGGCACUCUUUGUAACAGAAGAUCAAUGGACAACUUCCUACCAUUAACUAAAUUAAUCUUUCUUCUCUUCCCCUUUCUCCUCAUCUCACCACGAAAGGAAGAAUCUCUGUUAAACGGAAUGUGGCAAAUUAUUAAGGCUGUCUAUAUGAAAGAUGUAAAGCUAUCUGUGGUGGACAAAGAGGACUUCUUAGCUAAUAAAUUAGAGGAAGAGCUUCAAAAAGGAUUGCACUGUCAUUGUAACGUCAAUUAAUUUCUUCCAAUGUCAUUAACUUUUGAUUAUUGUUUUACUCUUUAUUUAAUGUAUACUUUAUUUCUUAAAUUUUUCUGUCUAUGUGAAGGCCACAGAUGGAAAUAUAUAUACUAAUUAUUUUGUCUCUUGAGGUAUCAAGAGGGAAGGUAUUUCUCCAUAUUGUAACUGUCAGGGUCAGCUGGGGAUAAUUAGCCACCAGCUGCUCUGGAAGUAUACAUGGUUAUACAUGGUUAUACAUGUUCCCCAUCUACCAAAAGUCUUUUGCACUGAAAUAUAUUUUAAAAAAUAAUAAUAAUCUGACCUUAAAUCACACAGAGUGACUUGGCUUACAAUGCUGUAGACUGGUGCCAUAGUUUAAUGACCCAAACAUUUGAAAAGCAACUACAAAGACUGCCCUGGAACGCAGCUGAUCACCUUCAGCUGCCAUGGCCUAGGUUUAUCAGCUGCAAACAGUAAAAAAAGAGCAACAUUCUCAUAGAGAAAUUGAUAUAUAUUUCUUUUUUCAGGAAGCUCAGUCCAUGAAAAAAGUCUCUUCUCUUUCAGAUGUAUGAACUUCUUUGCAAAGUGAUCUGAGGUAUCACUAGUGAGAUUAGCUAACAGCUGCAAAAUGGAACUGUUUUGCUAUGGAUAGGUGAUAACAGAAAAUAUCGCAGUCAGUCAGCAUUAUACUCAUUAGUAAGGUAAGGUCUUUCAAAUGUUGACCCAAGACUAACACUUCAGGUGAUAUGAUGGCAUUUAUUCUGAGAUUACAAACAAAAGUGGUGAUUAAGACAUUGCAGAAAGAAAUGGUAAAUAAAACACUUCAUAAAAUACAAA